rnacentral:rRNA from 1 species
UACGUAGGGGGCGAGCGUUGUCCGGAUUUAUUGGGCGUAAAGAGCGUGUAGGCGGCCAGGUAGGUCCGUUGUGAAAACUCGAGGCUCAACCUCGAGACGUCGAUGGAAACCAUCUGGCUAGAGUCCGGAAGAGGAGAAUGGAAUUCCUGGUGUAGCGGUGAAAUGCGCAGAUAUCAGGAAGAACACCUAUGGCGAAGGCAGCUCUCUGGGACGGUACUGACGCUGAGACGCGAAAGCGUGGGGAGCGAACAGG